CUAGAAACUUGUCAAGUGUCCAACAGACACAGGGUCUCACUAUGUUGCCCAGGCUGGUAUCGAACUCCUGGGCUCAAGUGAUCCUCCUGCCUCAGCCUCCCAAAAUGCUGGGAUUACAGGUACAGGGUGAACUCCGAGACCAUCUCUCCUAUUCAUUUACAUCCUCAGAACUUAGCACGAUGUCUGACCAUAGUGGAUUUUCAAUAAAUAACUAUGGGUUGACAUGCAGGCUGGACAUACAGUGGGUCUCGAUUGCUUGGAAGCCAAACUGAACUCACCAAGAAAAUAAGACAGGAGAAACUUCUCAAGAAGAAUAUCUCCAAAUUGCAGGAUCGAAUACCAUAAGAGGAAUUCUGGACUGAAGAAUUAUGAAGUCAUUUCAGACACUUCCAUAUAAUUUGUGUUAAUUAAAUUCUCACCGGUUGAGUUCCAUUCUACACUGGAAGAGCAUUUUUCCUGGAAAGGCUCCUCAAAAUGGACACCAUCAAGAGUCACCUCCUCAGUGAAGCCUUCCAUGGUUUCAUACCACCCAUCCCUAUCUGAAUGAAUGUAUCUUUGCUCUCCGUUAUCCCAGUAUUUUGCCUGGGCUUCUGUCACACUACUUUCAAUGUCUAUACCUCAGUUAUCGAAUCGAAAAACAAGAGUCAUCAGUCUCUAAGGUCCUUGCAAGCUUCAAAACUUUAUAUUUUUGUUAAUUACAACUGAAUAAAGCUGAAAAACUUA
rnacentral:antisense_RNA from 1 species